GUAGUCAUAUGCUUGUCUCAAAGAUUAAGCCAUGCAUGUCUAAGUAUAAGCAAUUAUACAGCGAAACUGCGAAUGGCUCAUUAUAUAAGUUAUCGUUUAUUUGAUAGUACCUUACUACUUGGAUAACCGUGGUAAUUCUAGAGCUAAUACAUGCUAAAAAUCCCGACUUCGGAAGGGAUGUAUUUAUUAGAUUAAAGACCAAUGCCCUCCGGGGCUCACUGGUGAUUCAUGAUAACUCCUCGAAUCGCAUGGCCUUGCGCCGGCGAUGGUUCAUUCAAAUUUCUUCCCUAUCAACUUUCGAUGUUUGGGUAUUGGCCAAACAUGGUUGCAACGGGUAACGGGGAAU
rnacentral:rRNA from 1 species